rnacentral:tRNA from 1 species
AGUACCAUAGUUUAUGACAAAAACAUUAGGUUGCAAAUCUAAAGAAGCAGAUAUAGCUGGGACUU